ACCAUAUAUUUAGCUCUACUGUUAAGCUUACAUCCUAUCAGAGAGGCACAGAGAGAGGUCAAAGAUCCUUGUGCCCCGGAUUCUGUACCAUAAGAAACUCUUCAAAAUGGCUAAGUCAAAAGAAGAAGAAUUGAAGUGUUUUAGAGGAAAAUUGACAAAAUAAUGUGGAAGAAAAAGAAUUGAAGAAGAGUCGGAAGAAUUAGACAAUUUGCUCAACGUGCAAUCCAGGCUUAGCGUGCAACUCUCGCUUAACGGGCAAUUCCAGACUUAGCACGAAGUAUCACUCAGCGCAUGCUCUUGCUCAACAUAGGCCAAGCUUAGCACGAGAAGAUCCACGAGGAAAAGCCUAGUGCACGCUUAACGCGCAGAAUGCGCACUCAGUGUGAAGUCAGCGUGAAAAGUAAAUUACCCUAAGCCUAUAAAAGGAGUAGGAAGCAGAAGAAAAAGGCGCACCUAGUCUCAGAGCUCUUCAGUGUAAAAAUCCAAAGCUUGAGUCUCUCCCUUAGGGGAAACUCUCUUUCCUUAGUCAUUCCCUCUUUUCUUAUUACUAGUCAUCCAACCCUUUCUUUCAUUAGCCUUUGAAGUGUAAAGUCUCUCAUGGUUAUGAGAGGCUAAACCUCAUCUGUUGUGUUGGAGCCUAGUAGUUAGUGCCCUUGUAAUGUAACUGUUCUUCUUAUCUAUUAAUGCAAUUUCAAUUUUUAUUGUUCCCCUCUA